CCUACGGGAGGCUGCAGUCGAGAAUCUUCGGCAAUGCGCGCAAGCGUGACCGAGCGACGCCGUGUGUGGGAUGAAGGCCUUCGGGUUGUAAACCACUGUCGUAGAGGAGGAAGUUGAUUGGGGUUCUCCCCAGUCAUUGACCUAUUCUAGGAGGAAGGACGGGCUAAGUUCGUGCCAGCAGCCGCGGUAAUACGAACCGUCCAACCGUUAUUCGGAAUAGCUGGGGUUAACGGGGCCGUAGGCGGCGCGUGAAAGCCCUCGGCUCAACCGAGGAAUUGCGCCCGAUACUGCAGUGCUUGAGGGAGACAGAGGUAAGCGGAACUGAUGGUGGAGCGGUGAAAUGCGUUGAUAUCAUCAGGAACACCAGUGGCGAAAGCGGCUUACUGGGUCUCUUCUGACGCUGAGGUACGAAAGCUAGGGGAGCGAAGGGGAUUAGAUACCCCGGUAGUC
rnacentral:rRNA from 1 species